rnacentral:tRNA from 1 species
CACCCGUAGAAUCCUGGUUAUUGCGA